CUCCUCUGUACUGCCAUGUGGUGAUCUCACUGAGCCCGGCUCAGGCAGAGAGAUUAAUGGCAGUCCAGGCGAAAAGCUGAGGCUCUGGGUCACGUCUCAGGCCCAGGAUCAGGCUCACUUCAGGACUGGAAGAAAUUACCGGAGAGGGUGAAGCGCAUCACAGAGCCCCCACCAGCAUCGGUAUUGAAAAGAAGGGAAUCCUCCUCACAUCCGUGGAAGAUAAAGUGGAAGGAAUGGAGCAAUGUGACAGUGCUGGCUAAGCGCGGCGAAGAGCGCGGCUGGGAGAGCACACUGGAUGUCAGUCCUGUCAAGCCUUCAUUUCACCUGUCAGCGCGGUGACUGACGUACAAGCACUUGUUUGCCCUUCCUGUGGUCUUCUCUUGCGUGUCCUGACAGGCGCAGGCCUCCGGAGCGGCGCACUUCGCCUCCUGCUACAAGGUCUCUCUCCUCCGGCUCUGCUGUCAGCCUUUGAUCAUGCCGAGACUCUCUGUUCUCCGCUCAGACGGACGACAGCAGCUCUCCCGCCCCACCGUGGAAUCCUUCCUGCCCCGGCCAGGUGACAGCAGAGCGUGGAAGAACCCGGUGAACCCGGAGUAAACCCAUACUGACACGGGGCAAACAGGAAGAGAAAUUCCAUGCAGACCCAAGUUCGGGAUCAAACUGAGGACUGGAGGAACCGGAGGCAGCAAUGCUGUCAGCUGCAACACCACAUCA
ensembl:lncRNA